GGAGGGGUUCCCGAGCGGUCAAAGGGAGCAGACUGUAAAUCUGCCGGCGUACGCCUUCGGUGGUUCAAACCCACCCCCCUCCACCA
rnacentral:tRNA from 1 species